UCGAUGUCAAGGACCUACAGUCGAAGCCCUUCCUAUAAAAGUGGGAGCUCAGCUCGGUAAAUCCUCUUGACGCGGCUAGGUUUGCCACCAUGACCGCAGAGAAAGCGGUGCCCAAGCCUACUGUUCAAAUCUCCCCGAACGAGACUACUGAGAAGGAGACUUCCCCGUCCCUCUAUCGUGCCGAAGACAUAAAUAGUUGUCCCCAUUGAUCUAGGUAAAGAAAUAGCAAUCGAUGCGGGGCAGGAAGGUCAACCAAGCGUGGUGCAUUCCUUCAAGCCAUUCUGUAACUUGAAUUCGUAGGAUGGGGCUCCCGAGGAUAAUAUGGUGGCUAGCAAAUGGAUGUAUAAAGGUCAACCUCCGGUUGACUUAAUUGAUUUUCAGGCCAUUAAGGAUGUCUCAUUUUCUGAUCAGGUUGAUGGUGAGGCUUCCUUUGGGUUUCCGAUGCCACCUUCCAGUUUGAGUUCGCACAUUUUUACAUGGACAAGGCUCAGGGGGAGGGAUCAUGCCCGACUAUUGAAGGCGACAGGCAGUGCCGACAACGACUACACGAGAGAGUCUCGGGUUUAAGAUACUCGAGUCUCACCGGCACACUCAGAUUUCUUUUAUGAACAUAGUGUUCCCACCUUCAAUUUUUGGGUCGAGUCUGGGGUUAAACAUGCAGUUCAAUUUUCCCUUGAACGGGCCAAAGACUUCGACUUCUCUGGCUUCCAAGACAUGCCUGCCCCGGCCAUGACUGAGGCUCCUGCUAUAACGGCAACAAUGGAAAAGGGUGUUGAAGUAGAAGAGGGCGUUCUAGGUCAACUAGUUGGAUACUUGGAUCCACCUACCAAGAACAAAACUCUCCCUCAGUCACCAAGACGACUUGAUCCGGGUGCAUUUUCGAUGCGGUGGUCGUGGUCCAAUAUUUUGUAAUCGUUGUCUGAGAUCCUUUUCUUGGACAUUUUUGGAUGGCAACGAUCAAACUCAGUGUAGUCACUGUCAAGGUCUUCACUAUCAUUACCCCAUAUAUACUCUCCUCGGCUUGUUUAAGGACGUGCCAUCAUCUCUGACCGGCUCAACUUACCCAUUCUCUAGUUAGUAAUUUCUUAAUGUAAUUUUGUAAAAUUUUGUUAGCAAACUCAUUUUGGUAGACCUGAUUGGUUUGAUUUCGUUUCUAAUUUCGUUUGUAAAGAAUCUUAAUCCAAUUUAAAUUCUUUUUCAGAGUGAAUAAAUGUAUUUUUUCUGUAGUG